rnacentral:rRNA from 1 species
UUGUUCAGUAACGAAGCUAACGCGAGAAGUCGACCGCCUGGGGAGUACGGUCGCAAGAUUAAAACUCAAAGGAAUUGACGGGGACCCGCACAAGCGGUGGAUGAUGUGGAUUAAUUCGAUGCAACGCGAAAAACCUUACCUACCCUUGACAUGUAUGGAAUUCUGCUGAGAGGUGGAAGUGCCUGAAAGGGAACCAUAACACAGGUGCUGCAUGGCUGUCGUCAGCUCGUGUCGUGAGAUGUUGGGUUAAGUCCCGCAACGAGCGCAACCCUUGUUAUUAAUUGCCAUCAUUUAGUUGGGCACUUUAAUAAGACUGACGGUGAUAAACCGUAGGAAGGUGGGGAUGACGUCAAGUCCUCAUGGCCCUUAUGGGUAGGGCUUCACACGUCAUACAAUGGUCGGUACAGAGGGUAGCCAACCCGCGAGGGGGAGCCAAUCUCAGAAAGCCGAUCGUAGUCCGGAUUGUUCUCUGCAACUCGAGAGCAUGAAGUCGGAAUCGCUAGUAAUCGCGGAUCAGCAUGUCGCGGUGAAUACGUUCCCGGGUCUUGUACACACCGCCCGUCACACCAUGGGAGUGGGUGAUACCAGAAGUAGGUAGU